rnacentral:rRNA from 6 species
GUCGAGCGGCGGACGGGUGAGUAAUGCCUAGGAAAUUGCCCUGAUGUGGGGGAUAACCAUUGGAAACGAUGGCUAAUACCGCAUAAUGCCUACGGGCCAAAGAGGGGGACCUUCGGGCCUCUCGCGUCAGGAUAUGCCUAGGUGGGAUUAGCUAGUUGGUGAGGUAAUGGCUCACCAAGGCGACGAUCCCUAGCUGGUCUGAGAGGAUGAUCAGCCACACUGGAACUGAGACACGGUCCAGACUCCUACGGGAGGCAGCAGUGGGGAAUAUUGCACAAUGGGCGCAAGCCUGAUGCAGCCAUGCCGCGUGUGUGAAGAAGGCCUUCGGGUUGUAAAGCACUUUCAGUCGUGAGGAAGGUGGUGUAGUUAAUAGCUGCAUUAUUUGACGUUAGCGACAGAAGAAGCACCGGCUAACUCCGUGCCAGCAGCCGCGGUAAUACGGAGGGUGCGAGCGUUAAUCGGAAUUACUGGGCGUAAAGCGCAUGCAGGUGGUUUGUUAAGUCAGAUGUGAAAGCCCGGGGCUCAACCUCGGAAUAGCAUUUGAAACUGGCAGACUAGAGUACUGUAGAGGGGGGUAGAAUUUCAGGUGUAGCGGUGAAAUGCGUAGAGAUCUGAAGGAAUACCGGUGGCGAAGGCGGCCCCCUGGACAGAUACUGACACUCAGAUGCGAAAGCGUGGGGAGCAAACAGGAUUAGAUACCCUGGUAGUCCACGCCGUAAACGAUGUCUACUUGGAGGUUGUGGCCUUGAGCCGUGGCUUUCGGAGCUAACGCGUUAAGUAGACCGCCUGGGGAGUACGGUCGCAAGAUUAAAACUCAAAUGAAUUGACGGGGGCCCGCACAAGCGGUGGAGCAUGUGGUUUAAUUCGAUGCAACGCGAAGAACCUUACCUACUCUUGACAUCCAGAGAACUUUCCAGAGAUGGAUUGGUGCCUUCGGGAACUCUGAGACAGGUGCUGCAUGGCUGUCGUCAGCUCGUGUUGUGAAAUGUUGGGUUAAGUCCCGCAACGAGCGCAACCCUUAUCCUUGUUUGCCAGCGAGUAAUGUCGGGAACUCCAGGGAGACUGCCGGUGAUAAACCGGAGGAAGGUGGGGACGACGUCAAGUCAUCAUGGCCCUUACGAGUAGGGCUACACACGUGCUACAAUGGCGCAUACAGAGGGCAGCAAGCUAGCGAUAGUGAGCGAAUCCCAAAAAGUGCGUCGUAGUCCGGAUUGGAGUCUGCAACUCGACUCCAUGAAGUCGGAAUCGCUAGUAAUCGUGGAUCAGAAUGCCACGGUGAAUACGUUCCCGGGCCUUGUACACACCGCCCGUCACACCAUGGGAGUGGGCUGCAAAAGAAGUAGGUAG